rnacentral:rRNA from 1 species
UACGGAGGGUGCGAGCGUUGUCCGGAAUCAUUGGGCGUAAAGGGCGCGUAGGUGGCGGGACAAGCGUGCGGUGAAAGCCUGGGGCUCAACCCCGGGUCGGCCGUGCGAACUGUUUUGCUUGAGCACUGUAGAGGAAGGUGGAAUUCCCGGUGUAGCGGUGAAAUGCGUAGAGAUCGGGAGGAACACCAGUGGCGAAGGCGGCCUUCUGGACCAGUACUGACGCUGAGGCACGAAAGCGUGGGGAGCGAACAGG